GCCAAUUAAUGCAUCUCGACUUUUUGGGAAGCCUGACUACAAGCAAGUAGCCCCCAAGGCCCCAGGUAAUGAUUGCUAUUUCCAUCUUUGUCCAGGAGAAAAAAAAAAAAAAAAACGAGCUGAAGACAGCCUUCAUUCCAAGAGUAUUUUGGGCCACUGAUUUUUAUCACCCAGAAAUCAAUCAGAAGGGCACACAAUGCCUAGAAAUCCCAAACCAGCUACUACAUCUAAGAGGUUCAUGAAUGAAGGCCACGGUGUUUGUGAAUACAAGAGAAGAGAGAAAAUGUGUCUCGCUAGCAAAAUUCAAAGGAGAUGCCCAUCAAGAAGAAAACAAAAGCUUUCCUCUGACACCAUCUGGCAUAAGAAAGUAGAUCAGCUGUGCUCACACUGUCUUUGGAAGAUUUGGAUAUACCUGGAGCAAGUUUUCCUGAAAAUAAAAUUUCAGGGAAGUUCCUCAGGAUUUGGGAACGAAGUCACACCUAUUUGGGAAAGGUAGUCGACUCUUUUUUAGAGCUACCUAUUACUCUUGUAACUAAAUGCCUGAUCAUGGAUUAAUUGCUGACCAUAUGAGAUGAACAGUUCAUUGUUAACUGGGUUUUAUCUAAUACACUAGCCAUAAAAUCAGGCAGGCCUUUAAUCACUCCAUCAUCAGGUGGAAGUGGUACAUAGAAUAUCUGGCUUAAGAAGUCCAAAAGCACAAUUAUUUUACAUGGAUAUGAAGGUUUCGUUUCAGUGCAGCUAACCCUUGCCACAUAGUCAAACCUCCUUUAACCCCUACCUGUGGAUCCGUUCCUAGACUAGUUGGCUGAGGAGGAAAACAUCCCAUCCUAUUUUGUACAUGGUGUCACAGGUUAGGUUCUCCAGAAAUCGAUACUGAGAUGGAGUUUGAAAUGGAGAAUAUUUAUUGGGAAUCAAGACCUGGAAAAAGAAGGGGAUAAAGGCACAUUGAGCAGAAGAGGAAGCUGAAUGGUGUUGGAGGACCAAUAAAACUUGUUCAACCCCAGAGAGAACUCUAGAA
rnacentral:lncRNA from 1 species